rnacentral:tRNA from 1 species
GUAAAACAAGUCUUUUGUAGUUUAUAAAAAAUACUAAAUUUUCACUUUAGUGAUGAUAUUCAUCCAAAAGUUC